GGCGUGGUAGCCGAGUGGUAAAGCGCUUAUAGCUAUUUACAUGGAACCGAACGUUGAUGGUUCAAUUCCACCCUGUGGCA